UUUGAUCAUGGCUCAGGACAAACGUUGGCGGCGUNCNNANUACAUGCAAGUCGAACGGAACUUUUUUAGCAAUAGAAAAGUUUAGUGGCAAACGGGUGAGUAAUGCAUGGGUAACUUUCUUUUAAGUUCGGGACAACCACCUGAAAGGGUGGCUAAUACCGGAUGUGAUCACGAAAUCGCAAGGUUAUGUGAUUAAAGAUGGCCUCUACUUGUAAGCUAUCGCUUAGAAAUAGGCCCAUGUCCAAUUAGCUUGUUGGUAGGGUAAUGGCCUACCAAAGCUACGAUUGGUAGUCGGUCUGAGAGGGUGUACGGCCACACUGGGACUGCGACACGGCCCAGACUCCUACGGGAGGCAGCAGUAGGGAAUCUUCCGCAAUGGGCGAAAGCCUGACGGAGCGACGCCGCGUGAAGGAUGAAGGCCUUAGGGUUGUAAACUUCUUUUAGCAAGGAAUAAAUGCAGUAGGGUUAAUACCCCUAUUGUUUGACGGUACUUGCAGAAAAAGCUUCGGCUAACUCUGUGCCAGCAGCCGCGGUAAUACAGAGGAAGCAAACGUUGUCCGGAUUUACUGGGCGUAAAGGGCUUGUAGGCGGCCAAACCAGUCAGGUGUGAAAUCGUUCUGCUCAACAGAACAAUUGCAUUUGAUACUAUUUGGCUUGAGUGCAGAAAGGGAAAACGGAAUUUCCGGUGUAGCGGUGAAAUGCGUAGAUAUCGGAAAGAACACCCGUGGCGAAGGCGGUUUUCUGGUCUGUAACUGACGCUGAGGAGCGAAAGCUAGGGGAGCAAACGGGAUUAGAUACCCCGGUAGUCCUAGCUGUAAACGAUGUACACUAGGUGUAGGAUGUUCAUUCAUUCUGUGCCGCCGGUAACCCAUUAAGUGUACCGCCUGGGGACUACGAUCGCAAGAUUGAAACUCAAAUGAAUUGACGG
rnacentral:rRNA from 1 species